AACGAACGCUGGCGGCACGCCUCAUACAUGCAAGUCGAGCGCGAAACCACCUUCGGGUGAUGUAGAGCGGCGAACGGGUGAGUAACAGGUGGAUAAUCUGCCCUUUGGCGGGGGACAACAGCUGGAAACGGCUGCUAAUACCGCAUGUGGUUGUAUGCUCAUGGUGUACAAAGAAAGACGCCUCAAAGCGUCACCAAAGGAUGAGUCCGCCCCCCAUUAGCUAGUUGGUGAGAUAACAGCUCACCAAGGCAUCGAUGGGUAGCCGAGCUGAGAGGUUGAUCGGCCACACUGGAACUGAGACACGGUCCAGACACCUACGGGUGGCAGCAGUAGGGAAUAUUGCGCAAUGGGCGAAAGCCUGACGCAGCGAUGCCGCGUGAGUGACGAAGGUCUUAGGAUUGUAAAAGCUACUUUUUCUGUAGGGGAAAGAAUAGGUCUGCGAGAAAUGCGCGGAUUCUGACGGUACCUC
rnacentral:rRNA from 1 species